rnacentral:rRNA from 1 species
UCCUACGGGAGGCAGCAGUGGGGAAUAUUGGACAAUGGGCGCAAGCCUGAUCCAGCAAUGCCGCGUGUGUGAAGAAGGCCUUCGGGUUGUAAAGCACUUUUAUCAGGAGCGAAAUACUACGGGCUAAUACCCUAUGGGGCUGACGGUACCUGAGGAAUAAGCACCGGCUAACUUCGUGCCAGCAGCCGCGGUAAUACGAAGGGGGCUAGCGUUGCUCGGAAUGACUGGGCGUAAAGGGCGCGUAGGCGGAUUGCGCAGUCAGAUGUGAAAUUCCUGGGCUUAACCUGGGGGCUGCAUUUGAGACGCGUAGUCUAGAGUGUGAAAGAGGGUCGUGGAAUUCCCAGUGUAGAGGUGAAAUUCGUAGAUAUUGGGAAGAACACCGGUGGCGAAGGCGGCGACCUGGUUCAUAACUGACGCUGAGGCGCGAAAGCGUGGGGAGCAAACAGGAUUAGAUACCCUGGUAGUCCACGCAGUAAACGAUGUGUGCGGGAUGUUGGGCAGCCUAGCUGUUCAGUGUCGUAGUUAACGCGAUAAGCACACCGCCUGGGGAGUACGGCCGCAAGGUUGAAACUCAAAUGAAUUGACGGA